rnacentral:lncRNA from 1 species
AAAAAAUCACAGGAAAAUAAUGGGAAAAUCUUGGGAAAAAUCAUGGGAAACGAUAGGAAAAUCAUGGAAAAAUCUUGGGAAAAAUAAUGGAAAAAUAAUGAGAAAAAUCUUGGGAAAAUCAUGGGAAAAAUCUUGGGAAAAAUCAUGAGAAAAGCACGGAAAAAUAAUGGGAAAAUGACAGGAAAAUAGUGGAAUAAUCAUGGGAAAAAAAUGGAAAAUUGUGGAAAAAUCUUGGGAAAAUAAUGGUAAGAUCAUGGAAAAAAUCACAGGAAAGGAAUGGUAAAAU